ACCCAACUCACAUGCUAAAAGAGAAAAUGCACAUUCACUUGCUAAGAUUGUAUACUUAACUAACCUAUUAAAGUUAAUUAAAAUUGGAGACCAAAUUAGUUCACUCCAACACCCGAAAAUUGAACUUAAUGAACUAUGCUAAAAUCUAUCAACCUUCAAACACCUCUCUUUAUAACGUGCUUGCUCUAACCAAUUUAACUUGAACAUUGAUUAUAAGAAACACCUAACAAUAGUACAUGCUUAAAAACACCUCAUCUUUCGAGAAUUUAGACAAAGUAAAACAUGUCAAAAACAUAUUGGCUAGUCAAUAAUCUUUUCUGUGACUAGACGGGAUUAACAGAGUGCUUCAACUAACAUUUAAGGAAGAACUUCAAGCUAUCAAUUACAUAUUCACACGCUUGAGCCAUAUAUAAAAACGUUAAAGCACUUAAACAAACUCAUAAAGUGAAUUCAACUCUAUUCCAGCAGUCCAAAAAGGUUCAAAUCUUGAUUUAUUGCUAUGAAAAUCUGCAUUACAAAGGUUCAAAAGUUACCUGAAGAGCAAAAAUACAAUACAACAGUGAAAAACGAGUAGAAACAACAUCGAAAAUAGCAGAAAAACAGCAGCAAAAACGAGCAGAAACAGCAGGAAAACCCCAGCUUUAUGACCAAGAAUAACCCAAAAAAAACCUAGCAAGAAGCACCUGAGACUAAUCCAUAGUAAUUUCAACAAUCACCUAAAAGAUCCUUCUAUUUUGCGCUCUAAGAUUCAACUCACAAAAACUCGCAAUUUUCAGCUUACUAUUAGAUGUUCAGUUGCUCUCUUACUCUCAAAGAUGUGUCUUUUUUUUAGUGAGUAGAGAUGUCUAGCAGAUGUGUGAUCGAUUGUGCGUGAAGUGAGGAAAGAGAAGCCUCUUAAAUAGGCAAAUAAAGUCACUUUUUAGACAGAUUUUGGUUCACCAAAUGUCUGUCCAAAAAGGACUGACUUUGUAUGCUAAACACUGUUCAAAGGUUGUCCUAAAGGUGAAAGGACAGCCUGAAAAUCUGCUAUGUCAGAAGCAAGGAAAAAAAAUAUUAUUUCAGCCACCCUAAUAGUAAAAAGUAAACCACUAGUACCCUAAGUCAUGAUCAAAACCUAUCUAAACUUCAGAUUUUAACAUCAAUACCAUCCUAUUGAUUUUGAACCAAAUCAAACUCAAACAACUAAGAAUUGACAAAACAGAAACCAGACUUCAAAUGGAUUUAAAACUCAAACUGACUAGAUUAAAAUAAACUGAUUUGUGCAAACUAAACAUAGAACAAACAACUGAAUUCACAAACUAAUGUUCAAAACAGAACGAGCAUUGUUAACAAUCGGACGACGACGUUCAACAACUAAACAAUCGAUUAACUAAGUAAACGAUUUAACUAACACACUAAAGAUUACGUUUAAUCAAUAAUAGUCUAACAAACAACUAAACUAACUUGAAACUCUAAUUAACAACAAACAACCAAAACAGAAAAAUCAAAAGUCAGAAACUAACCUACUAAUAAUAAAAGAAAAAAAUUAGAAAUUAAUAAAAGAGAUGACGAUUAUACCUAACGAGCGUGCUUGAAACUGUUCGAGCUACGAGAAGACACCGGAGAUGACAAAAGGUGGUUGUACGACCCCGAAACACAAGUUUCCUUUUAGCAAACUCCCAAAACAAGUAAGAUUUGGCAUCAUACUAGAAGGAAAAAUGAGUCUUUGGGUCGAGUUGGCUAAAGAAAAAUGAGGCAGUGGUGACCUUGGGGUGGUCACGGCAAUUGGGGGGGGGGGAGGGGGAGGGCGGCGGUGGUGCGGUUUUUGGGGGUGAAAUGGUUAGGAAAUAAUAGAUUUUAAGGAGAUCUAUCUGUUUAUGUAUGUAUUUCGGGGUGUGGAAGGUUAGGUCUCGCUGUAUUUAGGGUGGCGGCUGCUAGGGUUUGCGGUUUUAGGGGUAGAUUUGGUGAGAUUGAGGGUGAUUUUGGGGAUUUGGGGUUUGGAUAUGAGCAGAGGAUGAAGAGAGGAGAAGAUUGGUGUAAUUUGGGGGUGUUUGGAGGAUGGCCACCGCCGGUGGGCGAUUUGCUGCAGGCGCCGCCGCCGUGGAGGGUGCGGGCGGUAGAGAUAGGGAGAGGGAGAAGAGAGAGUAAAAGAGAGGAAGAAAAAAGAAAAUAGGGCAAAAUGAGGGCAAAU
rnacentral:lncRNA from 1 species